rnacentral:rRNA from 1 species
GGCAGCAGUGGGGAAUAUUGCACAAUGGGCGCAAGCCUGAUGCAGCCAUGCCGCGUGUAUGAAGAAGGCCUUCGGGUUGUAAAGUACUUUCAGCAGUGAGGAAGGUGGAUAUGUUAAUAGCAUAUUCAUUUGACGUUAGCUGCAGAAGAAGCACCGGCUAACUCCGUGCCAGCAGCCGCGGUAAUACGGAGGGUGCGAGCGUUAAUCGGAAUUACUGGGCGUAAAGCGCAUGCAGGUGGUUUGUUAAGUCAGAUGUGAAAGCCCGGGGCUCAACCUCGGAAUUGCAUUUGAAACUGGCAAACUAGAGUACUGUAGAGGGGGUAGAAUUUCAGGUGUAGCGGUGAAAUGCGUAGAGAUCUGAAGGAAUACCGGUGGCGAAGGCGGCCCCCUGGACAGAUACUGACACUCAGAUGCGAAAGCGUGGGGAGCAAACAGGAUUAGAUACCCUGGUAG